UACGGAGGGUGCAAGCGUUAUCCGGAUUCACUGGGUUUAAAGGGUGCGUAGGUGGGCAAGUAAGUCAGUGGUGAAAUCUCCGGGCUUAACCCGGAAACUGCCAUUGAUACUAUUUGUCUUGAAUACUGUGGAGGUCAGCGGAAUAUGUCAUGUAGCGGUGAAAUGCUUAGAUAUGACAUAGAACACCAAUUGCGAAGGCAGCUUACUACGGAUCGAUUGACACUGAGGCACGAAAGCGUGGGGAUCAAACAGG
rnacentral:rRNA from 1 species